UAAACGCUUGUCACCGCGGAACGUCGCAUCGAGGACUCGUUAGAAACGACCAUGUUCAACGGCGAUUUGCGACACCAAGACGUGUAUUAGUUGUCCUAUUCUGAUCAGGUAACCUGUGGUUGCGUCAAGUCGGACAAUAUGCCACCAGAAGUUUGCACAAGGUGUCGUUAACUUCACUGCUUCGAGUCACCAUUGUGUCGGAGCUUUCCCGCCAAGCUGACCAGCGAACAAGUUUUGUGUAUUUCGCUAGGUAUCAGACAUUCUUGCAAAUUCAUACAGAGUGCUGCAGCAAUCGCAUUGUAUAUUCUACAAAAACUGGCUUAAAGGCGGAUGGAAGACAGUACAGAUGGACUCACAGAAGCCAUCGGACUGCCUCAGAAACUGUGACUGAACAUUAACCCGUCGCGAGAUUGAGUCCCGGCUGCAGCGGCUGCAUUUC